rnacentral:rRNA from 1 species
UACGGAGGGGGCGAGCGUUAUUCGGAAUUAUUGGGCGUAAAGGGCGCGUAGGCGGCCCUGUAAGUCAAAGGUGAAAUCCCUCGGCUCAACUGAGGAACUGCCUUUGAAACUGCAGGCUUGAGGCCGGGAGGGGUAGCGGAAUUCCCAAUGUAGCGGUGAAAUGCGUAGAUAUUGGGAGGAACACCAGUGGCGAAGGCGGCUACCUGGACCGGUUCUGACGCUGAGGCGCGAAAGCGUGGGUAGCAAACAGG